UACGUAGGUGGCAAGCGUUGUCCGGAAUUACUGGGUGUAAAGGGAGCGCAGGCGGGAAGCCAAGUCAGCUGUGAAAACUACAGGCUUAACUUGUAGACUGCAGUUGAAACUGGUUUUCUUGAGUGAAGUAGAGGUUGGCGGAAUUCCGAGUGUAGCGGUGAAAUGCGUAGAUAUUCGGAGGAACACCGGUGGCGAAGGCGGCCAACUGGGCUUUAACUGACGCUGAGGCUCGAAAGUGUGGGGAGCAAACAGG
rnacentral:rRNA from 2 species